AACUGAUCAAGCUCCUUAUCAUCAUCGCCAAUCAUCUGACCCCCACCGAGGACGGAGUACUUCGCAACGACCUGCUGUGACUGCGCGAGCUGCGCGUCGAUCCUCGGCAGCUGAUCCACCGGCGUCGCGAUACGGAGACAUGCCACGUGCGCCGACAGCAGCUGCUCGUACAGCGGGUGGGCCAGUAUCUCCGCCUUGUACCUAGC
rnacentral:misc_RNA from 1 species